rnacentral:misc_RNA from 1 species
GAUGAAGAACGCAGCGAAAUGCGAUAAGUAAUGUGAAUUGCAGAAUUCAGUGAAUCAUCGAAUCUUUGAACGCACAUUGCGCCCCUUGGUAUUCCGAGGGGCAUGCCUGUUCGAGCGUCAUUACACCACUCAAGCUAUGCUUGGUAUUGGGUGUCGUCCUUAGUUGGGCGCGCCUUAAAGACCUCGGCGAGGCCUCCCCGGCUUUAGGCGUAGUAGAAUUUAUUCGAACGUCUGUCAAAGGAGAGGAACUCUGCCGACUGAAACCUUUCUUUUUACAGGUUGACCUCGGAUCAGGUAGGGAUACCCGCUGAACUUAAGCAUAUCAAUAAGCGGAGGA